GAAAUUUUUAAAGCAGGAAUAUUUUCUUAAUUCUGUAUAACUGUAAUUGGAGCAAUGAUGUCGUGUCAAAUUUUUGAAGUGGAGUGCAGUGACUUGUAGUUUGUUAUAGCAGUAUUGAAUGAAACAGAAAGGAUUGCAUAUACCAAAUUUAAGGUAAGUGUAAUUUUAAUAUGAGAUUUGUGAUGUGAAUCAUUUGUUGUUCAUAAUAUGGUUGGUGGGAAGCUAGAUCUCAUAAGGAUAAUGGCAAAAUUGGGGUGCACAAAUAUUUUAAAAUAAAGUUAUGGAUAUUUUCUCAACAAUGUAAUAAUGUAAAGGAUUUUUUUGUCAUAAUAUUCAUCUUAGUAAUUCCAUGUAUUAAAAUGAUAUUUGAAUCCGUAACAAUUAGUUCCAGUUAGCUUGGGUGUUAUUAAGUUUUACAAUGAACAUUUUUAAAAUUAGGAACAGGAAAAUGAUACAUGCUUUACCUUCGUUCCAGAUCUCCUUUGUUUAUUUUUUUCCCCAAUUUUUUUGUUUGUUUUGUGCUGGACUAGGAAUGUAAACUUUAUGUUGCUAUGAACUUUAGUUUGAUUAUAAUAAAUAAAUGUAUCACUGAAUUUCAUAAAUUAAGUUGGUGGGAAGUAAUAAGCAUAAAUCGUGUGAGAUUGAUGGCGGUGUUAAAGAGGUUGGUGACGAUCAAAGUAUUGAAGGAAGAAGAAAAAGGAAAUGCCAUAAUGGGUUCAUAAGAUAUUUGUAAGCUUAGUUCAUUAAAAAUUAUAGAGAUGUAUAAUUUUGCAGUCAUAUGAUGAUAUUGCAGCAGUGAAGCCGUGCAUGAGGUUAAGGCAAGCGAUGGAAUGACUUGCAUUACAGAAGAGGUAUGUAAAGUUGCACUAUAAAGAUAAAAUAAAUUUGUAUUUUCAAUUAGUGGAGAUGUAGUUAGUUUAUCUGCCAUGAUUGUGUACUAGAUGGAAAUUGGAUCCACGUUUAAGGAUUUACCACCGGAGAGAAAAUGUUAAUACAAAUUGAAUGCGAACAAAUAGUGAAGUCAGAAGUGGCAAAGGCAAAGUUCUUGACUAGAUUCGCCCCAGAUAGAUUAGCGGCAGCAGUUUCGUAGCUGAUAGAUGAACAAAGAGUGGCUGCUUGUCAAAUGGGUUUUGGUAGUUUGCUACAACUGUGGUAGGCUAAAGAGGAAACUUUGUGGCAGUUUAAUUGAGAUGAUUGAUACUGUGAGGUACAUUUUAGAAACGAAUGGUAUUAGCUUUCGAACAAGAUCAUCGAAGAAACUCAACCAACCAGGAAAUUUAGACAUAAUCUAUGCUCUGUAAAUUCAGAUAUUCUCUAAUAUGAA
rnacentral:lncRNA from 1 species